AGCAGCCGCGGUAAUUCCAGCUCCAAUAGCGUAUAUUAAAGUUGCUGCAGUUAAAAAGCUCGUAGUUGAAUUUCGGGAUCAAUAUGUUGGUCGUGCCUCGGUACGUACUAGCUUAUUGGUUUCUCCCUUCUGACGAACCAUGAUGUCAUUUAUUUGGUGUUAUGGGGAAAUCAGGACUGUUACUUUGAAAAAUUAGAGUGUUUAAAGCAGGCUCACGCUUGAAUACAUUAGCAUGGAAUAAUGAAAUAGGACGUUUUGAUUCUAUUUUGUUGGUUUCUAGGAUCGACGUAAUGAUUAAUAGGGAUAGUUGGGGGCAUUAGUAUUCAAUUGUCAGAGGUGAAAUUCUUGGAUUUAUUGAAGACUAACUACUGCGAAAGCAUUUGCCAAGGAUGUUUUCAUUAAUCAAGAACGAAAGUUAGGGGAUCGAAGACGAUCAGAUACCGUCGUAGUCUUAACCAUAAACUAUGCCGACUAGGGAUCGGAUGAUGUUAAUUUUUAAUGACUCAUUCGGCG
rnacentral:rRNA from 1 species